UCCUUGUACAUUGCUUAUGAUCGUGUAUAUGUUUAAGGAGAAUGGAUUUAAUGUGCUUAUACUGGAAACUUCUUAUUCAAAGCAGAAGUGUUAUUAACUUUUUGAUCUACCAUGUUAUAUAUUUCAAUCUAUCUGUUUACAAUUUGAGAUCGUGUUUCGAAAGCUUUUAAACUUUAUUGCGUUGAGCAUCAUUAAAACAUUUCCGCAUACAAUAGUAUACAGAAUGAAUCGUUUAAUUUAGACAGCCAUUGUCGGAAUAGAUUUCAAAACUAUUACAUAUCGUGAACUACAUUAAUAAAGGAUGAUCAUGACAAUUAAACAUUUGGAAGCUUGUGUAAUAUGAUGAACUAUGAUCACGUGACAUAUACUCCUUCAGAAGAUGUGACAACAGAAUCCACUGACGAUUUAGACGAAAUUGAGAUUAUUUCUACACAAAUUAUUCGUUUAGAACCACCAAAAUUUCCUGUCAGAAUAACUUCUACGGUUGAAUCGAGAGAAGAAGAAAUUCGACGAAAGAGAAUCAACAGAAUAGUUGGUUUCUUCGCAACACUUAUUUUUCUCACUUGCAUUGCAUUAGUUUGUUCCACUUUGAUGAUGUCGAAAGAUAUAGAUGAUCUUGUGAGAAACUCCAAUGAAUUCCUGCGAAAUAAAAUCCACAAGUCAACGCCUGGACCAAAACAGUCAAUAGAUAUAACAGAUUUCAACACGACGUUAAGUUGACAGAGGACAAAACUGUAAAGGAAUGUAACUAGUCGUUUCUCAGGGGAUCAAACGGCAUUAUUCUACGAACGAUGCUAUGCAAAGCGUUGCGUUGGUGAUUAGUCAACCGAAAAUAUGAUAAGAAAUAUAAAUAAUUGAUAACCAUGCGAUGUGAUUGCCAAUAUUUUUAGAUAGGUUGAGUUUUAUUAAUGUGUAAUAGAUGGUUUUGUUUUUCGCAAACUGUUGAAGCAUGAUCGAAGAAAACAAAACUAAUGGAUACAGUUAUCAUAGUAUUAAUACUAAGUCGUAAGGUACCUUAAAUAUAUUUAACAGAUAAACCACUGUUAUAGAAGCAUUCAGUUCAUUCAAGCUUAUGACAAACUGUAUUCUUACCGAACUUGAUAAACCUUUUUAUUUUCCUAUAGAUUAGACUCAUAGAGUACUGUUAUGUCGACUGUAAAUAUAUCAAAAGCUGUUAAAAUCAGAUACACAUCAAUAUGCAUUAAUCAUUAUCUAUUGAAAAAUACUUAAAUAAUGAGAAUGUUAUUGUGAAUUUCAGUUCCGAACAUCUAACAACGUGUAUAUAUAUAUUGGCAAACUUUAUGGUUUUUAUAUUUUUUUUACUUUUCAUCUCCCUCGUUAACGAGUUUAACUCAAAUAUUCAGUGACCAUGGUGCAAAAUGUAAUAAAAACAAGGAGAUCAAGUAUCGUGACAGAAAACAAAGCUGAGGGGUGACACGGGGGUGCUCAUUUCCCGCUUUUUGUACUUUUUCACCACUUCCAUUCCUUAUAUUUCCAAGAUCCCACGUUUUUUAGUAAAAUUACCUCCAAUAACCCACAUCCCUACUUUUAAACCCCUUAUAUUCCACAUCCCCACUUUUUUAUCCCUUAUAUUCAACAUCCCCACU